UUGUAAUAAUGCUUAGUUACUACGUCAGAAAAAUUUUUUUUAUACUCCAAGAAAGUUUUUUUUAGUAUAAAGCAAAGCGGUUAUCCUUUUAGCUUGUUUCUUUCCUACGCGCGUUGGCUAUCGG